rnacentral:rRNA from 1 species
UACAGAGGGGGCAAGCGUUGUUCGGAAUUACUGGGCGUAAAGGGCUCGUAGGCGGCCAACUAAGUCGGAUGUGAAAUCCCCAGGCUCAGCCUGGGAACUGCAUCCGAUACUGGAUGGCUUGAAUCCGGGAGAGGGAUGCAGAAUUCCAGGUGUAGCGGUGAAAUGCGUAGAUAUCUGGAGGAAUACCGGUGGCGAAGGCGGCAUCCUGGACCGGCAUUGACGCUGAGGAGCGAAAGCUAGGGGAGCAAACGGG